rnacentral:misc_RNA from 1 species
UACGGAGGAUCCAAGCGUUAUCCGGAUUCAUUGGGUUUAAAGGGUCCGCAGGCGGGGUGCUAAGUCAGUGGUGAAAGGCUGUCGCUUAACGAUAGCAUUGCCAUUGAUACUGGUACUCUUGAGUGUAGUUGAGGUGGGCGGAAUAAGCCAUGUAGUGGUGAAAUGCGUAGAUAUGACUUAGAACACCGAUUGCGAAGGCAGCUCACUAAACUAUUACUGACGCUCAGGGACGAAAGCGUGGGGAGCGAACAGG